rnacentral:rRNA from 1 species
UACGGAGGAUCCGAGCGUUAUCCGGAUUUAUUGGGUUUAAAGGGUGCGUAGGCGGCCCGAUAAGUCAGAGGUGAAAGACGGCAGCUCAACUGUCGCAGUGCCUUUGAUACUGUUGGGCUUGAAUGUGGUUGAAGAUGGCGGAAUAAGACAAGUAGCGGUGAAAUGCAUAGAUAUGUCUUAGAACUCCGAUUGCGAAGGCAGCUAUCUAAGCCAUGAUUGACGCUGAUGCACGAAAGCGUGGGGAUCGAAC